GGGGCAGUCAAGGUUUCGACAGGGGUUUUGCAGCCGGAGAAGCUAUCCGUUGUGACACGUUAAUCACAAAAUAAAACAAACGCUGAAGACAAUUUAGCAUACGCUGCCUAAUGGCAGCUGUCCGCUCUAGAGCACUCACACUUUAGAAUCCGGGCAUCGAGAAUGUGAGAAACGACGUAUGUUAAGCUUUGCGCAUAUGGGCGUAUGAUGAAGCUACCAAUUUUUUUAGGUUGUUCGUUUCCUAAAAAAGGCGGGAACAGGCGUGCAUAAGGCUCGCCAAGAUAACGGACUAUGAUAGUAGAAGUACGGGGAAUAGGCUUUUGGACACGGGUUCGACUCCCGUCUGCUCCACUU
rnacentral:tmRNA from 1 species